rnacentral:rRNA from 1 species
AUUGAACGCUGGCGGCAGGCUUAACACAUGCAAGUCGAGCGGGGUGAUGGUGCUUGCACUAUCACUUAGCGGCGGACGGGUGAGUAAUGCUUAGGAAUCUGCCUAUUAGUGGGGGACAACAUCUCGAAAGGGAUGCUAAUACCGCAUACGUCCUACGGGAGAAAGCAGGGGAUCACUUGUGACCUUGCGCUAAUAGAUGAGCCUAAGUCGGAUUAGCUAGUUGGUGGGGUAAAGGCCUAUCAAGGCGACGAUCUGUAGCGGGUCUGAGAGGAUGAUCCGCCACACUGGGACUGAGACACGGCCCAGACUCCUACGGGAGGCAGCAGUGGGGAAUAUUGGACAAUGGGGGGAACCCUGAUCCAGCCAUGCCGCGUGUGUGAAGAAGGCCUUAUGGUUGUAAAGCACUUUAAGCGAAGAGGAGGCUCUUUUGGUUAAUACCCAAGAUGAGUGGACGUUACUCGCAGAAUAAGCACCGGCUAACUCUGUGCCAGCCGCCGCAGUAA